rnacentral:lncRNA from 1 species
AGGGGUUCGAUCGAGAAUCUAACUUCAAUGCCCUGCUCCAAAGGACCUGACCACCUAUCCUGUGACCACACUCUCUUCCGACUCUGUCUCAGUGGCCUAAGCUAGCUUGACUUUUCAGCGGCAACAAAUUGAUGCUAAAGGAAGGGCUCUAAACUACAAUAGAGGUCUAAAAUUUUUUCUUUAUUUAUCAUUCAAGUAUGAAGAAUAAGAAGACUUUGGCGG